rnacentral:rRNA from 1 species
GUGGGGAAUAUUGGACAAUGGGCGCAAGCCUGAUCCAGCCAUGCCGCGUGAGUGAUGAAGGCCUUAGGGUUGUAAAGCUCUUUCACCGAUGAAGAUAAUGACGGUAGUCGGAGAAGAAGCCCCGGCUAACUUCGUGCCAGCAGCCGCGGUAAUACGAAGGGGGCUAGCGUUGUUCGGAUUUACUGGGCGUAAAGCGCACGUAGGCGGUUUGUUAAGUCAGAGGUGAAAUCCCGGAGCUCAACUCCGGAACUGCCUUUGAUACUGGCAAGCUAGAGUCCGGAAGAGGUAAGUGGAACUCCUAGUGUAGAGGUGGAAUUCGUAGAUAUUAGGAAGAACACCAGUGGCGAAGGCGGCUUACUGGUCCGGAACUGACGCUGAGGUGCGAAAGCGUGGGGAGCAAACAGGAUUAGAAACCCCUGUAGUCC